rnacentral:lncRNA from 1 species
GAAUGCCUCAUGAAGACUGGAGUGAUGCUGCCACAAGCCAAGGAAAUACCAAGCCUAGGAGAUGGCCUGGAACGGAUCCUUCCCUACGCCUUCAGAGGGAGCAUGGCCCUGCAGGCACCUUGAUCCUAGACUUCAAGAUUCCAGAACGGGAAAGCAUCUUAUGUGCAGGGGAGGAAAUUCCUAGAGUGGACAAAUAGUCAAAUUUAAAUUAAAAGAAAACUAUGCCAAGUGACAACUGCUCCAUUAUCGGCCACCUUGAAAUUGCCAUGUUGAAUACCACCAGGACCAGCUACUCCAGCUGCUUGAAGUCAUUGUAGACCAUGACCAGGGAGACCAUGGCUUCCACACAGAAGCUAAGCAGACCACGGUGAGACGGAGAUUUACUCUUGUUGCCCAGGCUGGAGUGCA